rnacentral:rRNA from 1 species
UACGAACCGUACAAGCGUUAUUCGGAAUCACUGGGCUUAAAGGGUGCGUAGGCGGCCAUGUAAGUGAGGUGUGAAAUCCCUCGGCUCAACCGAGGAACUGCGCUUCAUACUGCAUGGCUUGAGGGCGACAGGGGUAAGCGGAACUGAUGGUGGAGCGGUGAAAUGCGUUGAUAUCAUCAGGAACACCGGUGGCGAAAGCGGCUUACUGGGUCUCUUCUGACGCUGAGGUACGAAAGCUAGGGUAGCGAACGGG